GAUGAACGCUGGCGGCGUGCCUAAUACAUGCAAGUCGAGCGAACGGACGAGAAGCUUGCUUCUCUGAUGUUAGCGGCGGACGGGUGAGUAACGCGUGUAUAACCUACCUAUAAUACUGGUAUAACUUCGGGAAUCCGGAUCUAAUACCGGAUGAUCUUUUGAACCGCGUGGUUCAAAAGUGAGAGACGGUCUUGCUGUCACGUCUAGAUGGUUCCGCGCUGCAUUAGCUAGUUGGUAAGGUAACGGCUUACCAAGGCAAGGAUGCCUAGACGACCUGAGGGGGGGAUCGGCCGCCUGGGAACUGAGCCACGGACAAGAGUCCUAAGGGACGGAGCAGUAGGGAAUCUUACGCAAUGGGCGAAAGCAUGACGCAGCAACGCCGAGUCAGUGACGAAGAUCUUCGGAUCGUAAAAAUGUGUUACUAGGGAAGAACCGAUGUCGACGUAAAUGUGCCGAGCUUGACGGUAACUAAUAAGGAAGCAACGGCUAACUACGUG
rnacentral:rRNA from 1 species